rnacentral:rRNA from 1 species
CACGUGUAGCGGUGAAAUUGCGUAGAGAUGUGGAGGAGACACCAGUGGCGAAGGCGACUCUCUGGUCUGUAACUGACGCUGAGGAGCGAAAGCGUGGGGAGCGAACAGGAUUAGAUACCCUGGUAGUCCACGCCGUAAACGAUGAGUGCUAAGUGUUAGGGGGUUUCCGCCCCUUAGUGCUGCAGCUAACGCAUUAAGCACUCCGCCUGGGGAGUACGGUCGCAAGACUGAAACUCAAAGGAAUUGACGGGGGCCCGCACAAGCGGUGGAGCAUGUGGUUUAAUUCGAAGCAACGCGAAGAACCUUACCAGGUCUUGACAUCCUCUGACAAUCCUAGAGAUAGGACGUCCCCUUCGGGGGCAGAGUGACAGGUGGUGCAUGGUUGUCGUCAGCUCGUGUCGUGAGAUGUUGGGUUAAGUCCCGCAACGAGCGCAACCCUUGAUCUUAGUUGCCAGCAUUCAGUUGGGCACUCUAAGGUGACUGCCGGUGACAAACCGGAGGAAGGUGGGGAUGACGUCAAAUCAUCAUGCCCCUUAUGACCUGGGCUACACACGUGCUACAAUGGACAGAACAAAGGGCAGCGAAACCGCGAGGUUAACCAAUCCCACAAAUCUGUUCUCAGUUCGGAUCGCAGUCUGCAACUCGACUGCGUGAAGCUGGAAUCGCU